rnacentral:tRNA from 1 species
GUAAAUAUAGUUUAUAAAAACACUAGACUGUGACUCUAGAAACAGAAGCCUGUACCUUCUUAUUUACC